CCCCUCGGCGGCCGCAGCGUUAAGGUGUUUGAACAGGUCCAGGACCCUGGGUCUCGCUCGCUCCUGCCCGGGCCGCCUCUGUCUGACCCGGGUUCACCGGGAGCAACGGCCCAAAAGCCUUUGUCUCACAAAAGGGCCGUGUGUGCCACCACCUGCUUUUCCUCUUAAAAAUGCCAUCCAGGCUUCCAAACUCGUUUCAAAUACGGGGCCUCUGAAAUACCUAUUUGGCACCUUUUUUUUUCUAUGAUUGUGUGUUGGACUGUGGAGAGCCCUGGAGCUGGAAUGGAGACCAUGCUAAUAUUGCCCUGUUGGGGAAGGUCAUGGAAAAGAUAUGACCUCCAGCUGACCCUUGAGCUGCACCUGGACAAUCCUGAGCUUCCCCUGUCUUUGGAAAGUGGGUUCUGCUUGCUGGUUGGGCUCCCAGGGGCUGCUCCGUGGACAUAGCCUUGAGGGAGUGACCUAACCUUGAGAACACCCAUAGUGACCAGACCUUGUUAAGGCCUCUGCAUUACCUUGUAAGGUUUGGCAGAGGGAUCCGGGGAUCCGCUCAUCUUAUUGCCACUCGAGACAAGCCUCCUACAUAAGGCCACUUUGCUUAUUAGAACUGCACCUACCAACCUGGAGUGGCCAGUGUCUCUCUUAGAUGGCUCCCUGCCCUGCAAGUACUGGCCAGUUUCAGAUUUCAGGUGGGAAGCUCCCAAGAGGGUCGAGAACCACCACGCUUCUGUGACACGCUAGGACCCAGAGAACAGAGCGGUGGUGUUCCAAUGUCUGGAGGACUGGGAUGCCUGAUGGCUUGGAGGAUUACUCAUGGAGCUUUGCUAGACCUGUUCUGGUCCGGUUUGGGGACCCUGGAAAGUCUCAGGAAUGCCAAGCACUGUAGGAGGAGUGAUUGAGAAGGAUUGCUCAAGAAUCUUCUCAUCCUAGAAUCACUUCUUGAAUUGACUGAGUGGCUCAAAACAUGUCAGAAUCAGCCCAAAUGUUCCUUCUGGGUUUGUGCACAAUUUUUUGCUUCUCCCAUUGUCACCCCAGGGCGAGAAUUUUGUUUUAGGCCUCGAUACAUUUACUACCUAAUGGUGCCAGAAAGACCAUGGUGCAGUGUAAAUAUUUGAUGAAAAUGAAGAGAAGGUACUUUUGUCUAAAUAAACGUAUGGUCCUUUGCCACACCUCAUUACUUCCAGGGUUUUAAAGUGUCCAUUAGUUUAGCCAUUUGCACAGCUAUCCAAACUACCAAACCAGAUCCCAAAGGGUUGGGAAAGCUUCUAUGUUUCAGUAAGUGAAAAAAAAAUUUUUUUGAAUUUCUUCUUUAUGGAAACAGUUCUGAGAGAUGCCUCUUAGAGCAGAUGGGAUGCCAAAUUUAAAAACAUUGAGUGUGAAGAAUUUCUACAAAGUGAGCCUUAAUUUACUUAGAGCUCCUACUAUGACUGAAGGAGACCAAGCUGCAGAAAAUUCCAUUCUGUUGGUUCCAACCUUGGAAGUGCCCUGCUGAGAAUUUCAAAAGGGAGCUCACAUACUAGGCUUGUCUUGGGCAGCUGCAAAUCAAAAUCUUAAGAGUUUAUGUAGAAGCCUUACCGGGGUUCAGCUGGUGUAAAGCCCAGAUGGUCUCAGUAACACAUUGCUCUCUUAAGACAGUGUCCUUGCUUGAAGUGGCUUCACUGUGCAGAACAUACAUUCCAAGGACGGUGAAGGGGGUGAGGGCCUCUGCUUCCCCAGGUCCAAUUCAUGGGUCAACCAGUGGCCGUGUCUUCUCAAUGACCUCCUCUAACAGGGUGGCGUACUAGGAUGAAUAGUGUCCUCCAAAAAAAACUCAUGGCUAGCCGGAACCUCAGAAUAUGAAUUUGGAAAUAUUUCUGUUGAUUUAAUCAAGCGAAGAUGAGAGCCUGCUGUAUUAACCCAACGACUGCCAUCCUUCCAGGAAGAGGGACAUUUGGACAUAGACGCCCAGGAAGAAUGCCAUCUAAAUACUGAGGCAGAGAUUGGAGUUAUCCUGCCUCAAGCCAAAGAAUGCCAAGACUGGCCAGCCACUGGCCACUGGGAGAAGCCAGGAGAAAGAUAUCUAAAAUUACACGUUUGGCAAUGUUGGAUAACCACACUGAUGGAAUUCAAAGAAGCUGGGAAUUUCCUGAAGAAAAGUAGCUUCAUCCGUUCAAUUAGAGCUACAUUAAAAAGCCACAUGAAGCCCAAGAUAUGGGACAUCUGAAAUUUGUCACGUCAUUUUCCCCACCACCAACGCCCGGGCACAGCCUCAUUUGUCUUGGUCUGUGAAGCUCAAGGAGGCAAGGCACUCUGGCUUCAGCUUUAAAAGUCUUAUAUGUUGAUGUGUAUCCCAUGACUUCUAAAGAUAAAGUGCUUUUUCACUGGCAUUACUCACUUGUGUCAGAGGCUUUCUGGUAAAUUCUUCAGGCCCUCACCUUGCGGGAAAAGACAUCAGUUUGCCACUUCCUAUGAAAUGGGCUGUCCGUAAUGCUGUGUUGUAAUCUGAUUCUCGGGAGGCCCUGAUGGAUGACAGUCGUGGACCAGGUUCGAUGACAGUGCCCAGAGGCGGACCCUGAAGAGAUGCUCCAAAAGUUAAGCCUUGCUUUCAUUUGGCUGUAAUGUCAGUUCAGUAGACAAGUAGUAUCUGACUCCAAAUCACCAUUUUUCAAAUUGUC